GUGAAUACAUACCAAAACAUGAUUUAGAAAUGUUAAAGAUCCCAAGAUUCAUGUAUACCUCCAUUUCCUAAGCAUAAAACCGGCUAACCAUGAAAUGACAUAAAAGUCCCAUCUAAAAAUCUAAAUUUCUCAGUUGCAAUUAAAGUAACGUUUAUGUCCUACAACGUAUAACAUAAGAGUUGCAUUUAAAAACCCAAAAUCUUGUUGCCUUCUUCUUUCUUUUUAUUCUCCAUUUCACCAUCCCAAGAGUGUAUACCUGCAUUUCAAAAUUUAAUGAGUUUUAGAGAUUUUUAUUGAAGAAAAUAAACAUGGAUCGAUGUUAUCAUAAAUGAACAAAUCUAAGAACUAUUUAUUUUUUCAAAUAGAAACAUUAUUCAAAGAAUAAGCAUUACUAUACAAUACCUAUGGAAAAAUUCAUGUAGUAGCUAAGGGACUCACCAUGCAUGGUGAUCAUGAUGCAUUAACAUGAUUCAUGAUUAGUUGUAGCACAAAAGUAGCCCAUUCUCCUCUAAUUUCAUCGAAGGGUGCUUCUUCUGAUGAAUAAAUG
rnacentral:lncRNA from 1 species